rnacentral:ncRNA from 1 species
GAGGAGAUUAAUUCUUUCUUAAAAGUUAAUUUAAUAAUUAAAAUAUAGAUAAUAUUAAAGAUAAAAUAUUUAAAUAAUAAAGAGUGAGUUUAUUAAUAUUUAUAUUAAUUAUUUGUAUGAGAGUAUAAUGUAGUAAUUUAUUUAAAGUUAGAUAAAUUUUGGUGCCAGCAGUCGCGGUUAGACCAUUUAUUUAAAUUAAUUAAUAAUUAAUUAAAUAAUGAUUUAAUUUAAAUAAAAAUUUAUAUAAUUUUUGAAUGUAUUUGGUGGAAUAUAAAUUUAAAAUUAAUUUAUAAAUUAUGAAUAAUUUUUAUUAUAAGUUUUAAUAAUAAACUAGGAUUAGAUACCCUAUUAUUUAAAUUAAUUUUUUAAAAUUAAUAAAGUAAAUAUAUUGUAUUAAGAAAUUUAAAGAAUUUGGCGGUAUCUUUAUAAUUAGAGGAACUUGUCUAUUUAUUUGAUAGUCCACGUUAAGAUUUACUUAAUUAGAAUUUAUGUAUUGUUGUUUUUGGGAUUAAACUUUAAGGUUUAGUUUAAAUACUUAAUUUAAGUAGUAAUUCAAAUCAAAGUGUAGUUUAAUUAAGAUUUUUGAUGAGUUACUUUUUUGUUUUUAAUUUAAUUAGUUUGAUUUGUAAAUUUAAUUUUAUUAUGAAAUAGGAUUUAAUUGUAAGAGUUAAAUAAUAAUUUUAUUUGAAUUAUAUUAAAGAUAUGUACAAAUUGCCCGUCACUCUUGUCUUUAAGAUGAGAUAAGUCGUAACAUAGUAAAGGUACUGGAAAGUGUUUUUGGAUUAAA